UACGUAGGUGGCAAGCGUUGUCCGGAAUUAUUGGGCGUAAAGCGCGCGCAGGCGGUCCUUUAAGUCUGAUGUGAAGGCCCACGGCUCAACCGUGGAGGGUCAUUGGAAACUGGGGGACUUGAGUACAGAAGAGAAGAGUGGAAUUCCACGUGUAGCGGUGAAAUGCGUAGAGAUGUGGAGAACACCAGUGGCGAAGGCGACUCUUUGGUCUGUAACUGACGCUGAGGCGCGAAAGCGUGGGGAGCAAACAGG
rnacentral:rRNA from 1 species